GCGGAGAUCCUACCUCUUUUGACCAGAGAUGUUGAAAAGCACGACCAAAGUUUUUGGUUUGGUCUCUUGCUUUCCACAAUGAGAUAAAGUCUUAAGCCUGUAACUCUCCCUAUCCCAUGGGAGUGUGCAAAGGGAAGGAAAAUAAGCGGCGUGGGUGAGGGGUGGCGGCGCAGAAUCGAGGAAGGGAGGAGAGGCGAGAGCCAGCCUCUGGCAGGAGGGCGUGGAUCUCGGUGCAAGCCAGAACAGGUCCAGCCUUCCCGCGGCCAGCGCCAGCAGCGGGAGGGGACAGGCGGGACCUCCGUGGGCAGUCCCGGGUGCGGACCAGCGGGGAGCGGCCGGCAAGAAACUCCCUUGGAUCCGCCCAGAGCUUACUGGACCCUGCCCGUCCCUGUCCCAGCUCCCAGCCAGUUUGGGGGAGAAGUUGCCCGAGGGGAGGUACCGGACAGAUCUCGUGCUGGAAGCGACGCAGGUGCUGUAAACUGCAAACCAUAAUCCUGUCUUCACAUUGCAAACAAAUCACAGUGGAACUAAGGGGAACUUAAUUUACGGUUUCCAGGUUAACUAAGGUCUCAGCUUUAAACCAAAAGUAAGAAGAGACAUUAAGAUUUUCAUUCUUUCUGGGUUAUCUCCUUCCUGAAGAGCAAUGGAGCCACGUUUAAAUGGAAGGAGAUUAAUCAUAUCUCUAAUUUUCUUCCUGUUAAAAUUCUCGACAGCAAUUGAAAUACCACCCUCAGUUCAACAGGUUCCAACAAUCAUAAAACAGUCAAAAGUCCAAGUUGCCUUUCCCUUCGAUGAGUAUUUUCAAAUUGAAUGUGAAGCUAAAGGAAAUCCAGAACCAACAUUUACGUGGACUAAGGAUGGCAACCCUUUUUAUUUCACUGACCAUCGGAUAAUUACAUCUAAUAAUUCAGGAACAUUCAGGAUCCCAAAUGAGGGGCACAUAUCUCACUUUCAAGGGAAAUACCGCUGCUUUGCUUCAAAUAAACUGGGAAUCGCUAUGUCAGAAGAAAUAGAAUUUAUAGUUCCAAGUAAGUGCUAUAAUGGGAAUUUCAUUUUACAAAUGUUCUAGUGAAGUGUUAAAUAGGAGUUAUAUUGGGUUCCAAUGAAAUAAAGCAAUUAUUAAUUAAAUCAA